rfam:Bacteroidetes bacterium TKL13-3, complete genome.
GGCCCGUUCGUCUAUCGGUUAGGACAAGCGGUUUUCAUCCGCUAAAGAGGGGUUCGACUCCCCUACGGGCUA